CCGCCCGUCGCUACUACCGAUUGAAUGGCUCAGUGAGGCCUUCGGACUGGCUCAGGGAGGUCGGCAACGACCACCCAGAGCCGGAAAGUUGGUCAAACUCGGUCAUUUAGAGGAAGUAAAAGUCGUAACAAGGUCUCCGUAGGUGAACCUGCGGAGGGAUCAUUA
rnacentral:rRNA from 7 species